rnacentral:rRNA from 1 species
CAGUCGCCACGGUAAUACGUAGGGUGCGAGCGUUAAUCGGAAUUACUGGGCGUAAAGCGUGCGCAGGCGGUUCGUUAAGACAGAUGUGAAAUCCCCGGGCUUAACCUGGGAACUGCAUUUGUGACUGGCGAGCUAGAGUAUGGCAGAGGGGGGUAGAAUUCCACGUGUAGCAGUGAAAUGUGUAGAGAUGUGGAGGAAUACCGAUGGCGAAGGCAGCCCCCUGGGCCAAUACUGACGCUCAUGCACGAAAGCGUGGGGAGCAAACAGGAUUAGAUACCCCUGUAGUCCCUGUCUCUUAUAC